rnacentral:rRNA from 1 species
UCCUGCUCAGGAUGAACGCUGCGGCGUGCUAACACAUGCAAGUCGAACGGGGCGGCGCAGGCUGAGGCUUUUCGGAGCGGAAGCCGGCGCUGCCCAGUGGCGGACGGGUGAGUAACGCGUAGGCAACCUGCCCUGCACUGGGGGACGAACAGCCGGAAACGGCUGCUAAUACCGCAUAUGCCCGCAGCCCGCAUGGGGCGGCGGGGAAGCUCCGGCGGUGCAGGAUGGGCCCGCGUCUGAUUAGCUGGUUGGCGGGGCAACGGCCCACCAAGGCGACGAUCAGUAGCCGGCCUGAGAGGGUGGGCGGCCACAUUGGGACUGAGACACGGCCCAGACUCCUACGGGAGGCAGCAGUGGGGGAGUAUUGCACAAUGGGGGGAACCCGUGAUGCAGCGACGCCGCGUGGGCGAUGGAGUGCUUCGGCAUGUAAAGCCCUAUCAGCAGGGAGGAAAAUGACGGUACCUGACUAAGAAGCCCCGGCUAAAUACGUG